rnacentral:rRNA from 1 species
GUUGAAAAGCUGUAUUUGAUUAUUUUUUAGUUGGGUUGUGUUCCUUUUGCAUCAUGAUUAGACGAUGUAUAAUAGAAUAUUUCUUUUUACCGAAAAUCGAUGAUUUCUGCGAAGUUUGGAAAUUUUUUAGAGGGUAUUCAUUUACUACUUGGGUAAAUUUAGUAUAAAAUUUUGUUGCGAUGUGAUAAAUUAUUCGGAUUGAUUUAUAACUGUUUAGUAGGAGUAAAAUUUUGUUUAAAAUUGCUAGCGAAGAGGUUAGUGAUUUAAUCAUACUUUGUUGUUUAACGAUGAUUUGUGUAAGGUUAAAAUUACCUAUUAUUAGCGAGUUUAUUACAAAACUUUUAUUAUUUCGGGAAAGUUGAUGUGACUUCUUACUAGGUUAGUGAAUCUUGUGUUAAUAAAUAAUGUUUAAAUAAGUAAUAGUUAUUAGUUUUAUUGUUUCUCAGGUUUUGCCCGUCUGUUUAUUAAAAACAUUUCCAUUUUUUAAAAUAAAUGGUAGUACCUGCUCUAUGUUUUUAUAAAUGGCCGCAGUAUCUUGACUGUGCGAAGGUAGCAUAAUUAAUUGCCUCAUAAUUAGGGGCUAGUUUGAAUGGUUUGACGAGGUAAUAAGCUAACAUUAAGACUUUUUGUGAAAUUACUGUAGGGUGCACAGAAGCCUCUUUUUUUAAUUAGACGGAAAGACCCCGGGAUCUUUUAUUUUGCUUGGGGCAAGUUUGAAUUUUUUAUUCUUAUUAUGACCCUUAAGGUUUAUUGGGUUAAGUUACCCCGGGGAUAACAGUGUAAUAGUUUAUUAGAGACCCUAUCGAUUAAGCUGUUUGUUACCUCGAUGUUGACUUAGGUUUUAAAUUGGGCGCAGUAGUUCAAAUUUUAGGUCUGUUCGACCUUGUAACCUCCAUGAGUUGAGUUAAGACCGGCGUGAGCCAGGUCGGUUCUUAUCUAUUGUUGUGAUUUACUAGUACGAAAGGAUUGUAAGUUGUUUUAU